CAGCAGCCGCGGUAAAACGGAGGGUGCAAGCGUCAAUCGGAAUUACUGGGCGUAAAGCGCACGCAGGCGGUUUGUUAAGUCAGAUGUGAAAUCCCCGAGCUUAACUUGGGAACUGCAUUUGAAACUGGCAAGCUAGAGUCUUGUAGAGGGGGGUAGAAUUCCAGGUGUAGCGGUGAAAUGCGUAGAGAUCUGGAGGAAUACCGGUGGCGAAGGCGGCCCCCUGGACAAAGACUGACGCUCAGGUGCGAAAGCGUGGGGAGCAAACAGGAUUAGAUACCCGCGUAGUCCCUGUCUCUUAUAC
rnacentral:rRNA from 1 species